UUUGUUGGCAUUGGAUUUAAAACUUCAGAAAAUUUUAAAUUUUCAUUUCUAUUACCACCAAGGUUUAAAAACUCAUCUCUGAUUUGGUUUUUACUAGGUUUAUGGAGUUUUGGUUUUGGUGAUUUCAGUGGUUUUUGAAGUUCCGAUCCAAGUUUCAAGGUCUUGGUCAGAAAAAUAAAGAAAAUAUUAAAAAUACAAAAAUAGGAAAAAUUAUCACAUUAUUUUAGAGUAAUUUGUGUUGCACAAAUUCUUUAUUUAUGUAGUUUUGACAAUUUUAGAUUUAAAUUAACAUUGCAUAUAAAUCAAAAUUAAAUAUAUUGGUAUUUUGUAUUGUGCAUGAAUUUAGGAACAUAAAUAUAUUAUAUACUACUUGAGAUUUAAUUGUUCAGAAAGUCAUUAUCUUUCAUUUUCAGUAAAACUCACAAACACAUGGAAUUUGGACAUUUUGUCAUAUUUUUGUUGUUAAAUAGCUCUUAAAUUGAAUGCAUGUAGCUAUAUAAUGUUAUGUUUAGUUGUAUAAAAAAUUAUUUUUGUCAAAAUAUCAUAUAUCUAGUUAUUCAUAUUAGUCUUUAAAAAAAAAUACUAUGUUU
rnacentral:lncRNA from 1 species